CCAUGGACAAAAUGGGCCCUCAGUGACUAUCCGAUGCAGGGCCAGGCACUGAAUGCAGAUGCAUAUACUGGAGCUCAGAGGAUUUCAGUGAGUUACCCCGGCCACAGCCAGUGAGCAGCGAUGUCAAGAUGUCUUGAAUCCUGGGCCUCAGCUGCAAAGCCGUAACCAGUCCUCUGUGUUCCCAUGGGCCAGUGCUUUACAAAGGUCCUUGCAGAGAAUCAUGCCAGGUUAGGCUGGUGGUCCCAGAGAAGGAUAAGAGGCUUAUGGAGCAGAGUUGCCUGAUCAGGCCCAGCCAAGAUCAGCAGACCCUCAACCAACACAUAGACACAUGAACCAGAUAAAUGGUUUUGUUAUUUGCCACUGAGAAAU
rnacentral:lncRNA from 1 species